rfam:Salmo salar isolate Sally breed double haploid chromosome ssa21, whole genome shotgun sequence.
UGCACUAACUACUGUAAAUCACUCUGGAUAAGAGUGUCUGCUAAACGACUUCAA